rnacentral:rRNA from 1 species
GACUGCAGGCUGCAACUCGCCUGCACGAAGUCGGAAUGCUAGUAAUCGUAGGUCAGCAUACUACGGUGAAUACGUUCCCGGGCCUUGUACACACCGCCCGUCAAACCAUGAGAGUUGGCAACACCCGAAGUCGGUAGUCUAACCGCAAGGAGGACGCCGCCGAAGGUGGGGUUNAUGAUUAGGGUUAAGUCGUAACAAGGUAUC